rnacentral:rRNA from 1 species
AUACGAAGGGGGCAAGCGUUGUUCGGAAUAACUGGGCGUAAAGCGCACGUAGGCGGAAUGUUAAGUUAGAGGUGAAAUCCCAGGGCUCAACCCUGGAACGGCCUUUAAUACUGGCAAUCUAGAGACCGAGAGAGGUGAGUGGAAUUCCGAGUGUAGAGGUGAAAUUCGUAGAUAUUCGGAGGAACACCAGUGGCGAAGGCGGCUCACUGGCUCGGUACUGACGCUGAGGUGCGAAAGCGUGGGGAGCAAACAGGAUUAGAAACCCUGGUAGUCC